rnacentral:snoRNA from 1 species
AACCACGAUGACGAGUUAAGAUGCUUUCUUCUGAGCGUGAAUCGGGUGGUGAGCGACGAGCGAGAUUGUCUGCUCUCUGUCAUUGAUGAACAUUCCUGCUGUGCUUUGCAGUCUGGAAGAAGAAAGCAUGUUCAGAGUGGU